rnacentral:rRNA from 1 species
GAGUUUACAACUCCCAAACCCCUGUGAACAUACCAAUUGUUGCCUCGGCGGAUCAGCCCGCUCCCGGUAAAACGGGACGGCCCGCCAGAGGACCCCUAAACUCUGUUUCUAUAUGUAACUUCUGAGUAAAACCAUAAAUAAAUCAAAACUUUCAACAACGGAUCUCUUGGUUCUGGCAUCGAUGAAGAACGCAGCAAAAUGCGAUAAGUAAUGUGAAUUGCAGAAUUCAGUGAAUCAUCGAAUCUUUGAACGCACAUUGCGCCCGCCAGUAUUCUGGCGGGCAUGCCUGUUCGAGCGUCAUUUCAACCCUCAAGCCCAGCUUGGUGUUGGGACUCGCGAGUCAAAUCGCGUUCCCCAAAUUGAUUGGCGGUCACGUCGAGCUUCCAUAGCGUAGUAGUAAAACCCUCGUUACUGGUAAUCGUCGCGGCCACGCCGUUAAACCCCAACUUCUGAAUGUUGACCUCGGAUCAGGUAGGAAUACCCGCUGAACUUAAGCAUAUCAAU